rnacentral:rRNA from 1 species
UACGAAGGGGGGCUAGCGUUGUUCGGAAUUACUGGGCGUAAAGCGCGCGCAGGCGGCCAUUCAAGUCAGGGGUGAAAGCCCAGAGCUCAACUCUGGAACUGCCCUUGAAACUGUAUGGCUUGAGUAUGAGAGAGGUGAGUGGAAUUCCCAGUGUAGAGGUGAAAUUCGUAGAUAUUGGGAAGAACACCGGUGGCGAAGGCGGCUCACUGGCUCAUUACUGACGCUCAGGCGCGACAGCGUGGGGAUCAAACAGG